UCUGGUGACGAUAGCGAAGAGGCAACACCCGUUCCCAUCCCGAACACGGAAGUUAAGUUCUUCAGCGCCGAUGGUAAUGAGGGGUUUCCCCUUGUGAGAGCAGGACGUUGCCGGGC
rfam:Bacillus sp. VT-16-64 NODE_221, whole genome shotgun sequence.